rnacentral:rRNA from 1 species
UACGUAGGGACCAAGCGUUGUUCGGAUUUACUGGGCGUAAAGGGCGCGUAGGCGGCGUGGUAAGUCACUUGUGAAAUCUCUGAGCUUAACUCAGAACGGCCAAGUGAUACUGCUGUGCUAGGGUGCAGAAGGGGCAAUCGGAAUUCUUGGUGUAGCGGUGAAAUGCGUAGAUAUCAAGAGGAACACCUGAGGUGAAGACGGGUUGCUGGGCUGACACUGACGCUGAGGCGCGAAAGCCAGGGGAGCAAACGGG